rnacentral:rRNA from 1 species
UACGUAGGUGGCAAGCGUUGUCCGGAUUUACUGGGCGUAAAGAGCGCGCAGGCGGUCGGAUUAGUCGCGUGUGAAAGCCCCCGGCUCAACUGGGGAGGGUCACGCGAUACUGUUCGACUCGAAGGCAGGAGAGGGAAGUGGAAUUCCCGGUGUAGUGGUGAAAUGCGUAGAUAUCAGGAGGAACACCGGUGGCGAAGGCGGGUCUCUGGGCCGAAAUUGACGCUGAGGAGCGAAAGCGUGGGGAGCAAACAGG